GAUGAACGCUGGCGGCGUGCCUAAUACAUGCAAGUCGAGCGAACAGACGAGGAGCUUGCUCCUCUGACGUUAGCGGCGGACGGGUGAGUAACACGUGGAUAACCUACCUAUAAGACUGGGAUAACUUUGGGAAACCGGAGCUAAUACCGGAUAAUAUAUUGAACCGCAUGGUUCAAUAGUGAAAGACGGUUUUGCUGUCACUUAUAGAUGGAUCCGCGCCGCAUUAGCUAGUUGGUAAGGUAACGGCUUACCAAGGCGACGAUGCGUAGCCGACCUGAGAGGGUGAUCGGCCACACUGGAACUGAGACACGGGCCAGACUCCUACGGGAGGCAGCAGUAGGGAAUCUUCCGCAAUGGGCGAAAGCCUGACGGAGCAACGCCGCGUGAGUGAUGAAGGUCUUCGGAUCGUAAAACUCUGUUAUUAGGGAAGAACAAAUGUGUAAGUAACUAUGCACGUCUUGACGGUACCUAAUCAGAAAGCCACGGCUAACUACGUG
rnacentral:rRNA from 1 species